rnacentral:rRNA from 1 species
UACGUAGGGUGCGAGCGUUAAUCGGAAUUACUGGGCGUAAAGCGUGCGCAGGCGGUUUUUUAAGACAGGCGUGAAAUCCCCGGGCUUAACCUGGGAACUGCGCUUGUGACUGGAAGGCUAGAGUACGGCAGAGGGGGGUGGAAGUUCCACGUGUAGCAGUGAAAUGCGUAGAGAUGUGGAGGAACACCGAUGGCGAAGGCAGCCCCCUGGGCCGAUACUGACGCUCAUGCACGAAAGCGUGGGGAGCAAACAGG